rnacentral:rRNA from 1 species
AUGUCCCCUAUCUUGUUUAACAUUGUGGUGGAUAUGUUGGCAGUUUUGAUAGGAAGGGCUAAGGAAAAUGGUGAAGUAGGUGGAUUGGUGCCUCAUCUUAUUGAUGGAUGUGUCUCUAUCCUACAGUACGCUGAUGAUACAAUCAUCUUUAUGGAGCAUGAUUUGGCUAAGGUGAGAAAUAUGAAGCUGGUGUUAUGCCUAUUCGAACAAUUGACCGGGCUAAAGAUCAACUUUCAUAAGAGCGAGCUGUUCUGUUUUGGUAGGGCCAAAGAUGAACAGGAUGCUUAUAGGCAAUUGUUUGGAUGUGAGUUGAGAGAGCUAUCAUUCUCAUACUUGGGGAUUCCUAUCCACCAUCGUAGGCUGACAAACAGAGAAUGA